AGUCAUAUGCUUGUCUCAAAGAUUAAGCCAUGCAUGUCUAAGUACAAGCCUCACUAAGGUGAAACCGCGAAUGGCUCAUUAAAUCACACCUAAUGUACUGGAUAGUCUCAGUUACUUGGAUAACUGCGGUAAUUCUGGAGCUAAUACAUGCGCAAAAACCGCGACUCACGGAGCGGUGCUUUUAUUAGAUCAAAACCAAACGGCCUCGAGCCGUCCCCCUGGUGAUUCUGAAUAACUUUGGGCUGAUCGCACGGUCGUGUACCGGCGACGUAUCCUUCCAAGGUGUGCCCUAUCAACUGUCGACUGUGGCAUAGACGCCCACAGUGGUUUUGACGGGUAACGGGGAAUUAGGGUUCGAUUCCGGAGAGGGAGCCUGAGAAACGGCUACCACUUCUACGGAAGGCAGCAGGCACGCAAAUUACCCACUGGUCGAAGACCGAGGUAGUGACGAAAAAUAACGAUACCGGACUCAUCCGAGGCCCGGUAAUCGGAAUGAGUACACUUUAAAUCCUUUAACGAGGAACAAU
rnacentral:rRNA from 1 species